UACGUAGGCAGCGAGCGUUGUUCGGAGUUACUGGGCGGAAAGAGCUCGUAGGGGGUUUGUCGCGUUGUUCGUGAAAACUCACAGCUCAACUGUGGGCGUGCGGGCGAUACGGGCAGACUGGAGUACUGCAGGGGAGACUGGAAUUCCUGGUGUAGCGGUGGAAUGCGCAGAUAUCAGGAGGAACACCGGUGGCGAAGGCGGGUCUCUGGGCAGUAACUGACGCUGAGGAGCGAAAGCGUGGGGAGCGAACAGG
rnacentral:rRNA from 1 species